AACGAACGCUGGCGGCGUGCCUAACACAUGCAAGUCGAGCGAGAAAAGGGGGANCAAUCCCCUGAGUACAGCGGCGCACGGGUGAGUAACACGUAGGUGAUCUCCCCUCGAGCCCGGAAUAACCUACCGAAAGGUGGGCUAAUACCGGAUAUGACCACGGGAGUUUCGGCUCCUGCGGUGAAAGAUGGCCUCUACCUGUAAGCUAUCACUCAAGGAUGAGCCUGCGUGCCAUUAGCUAGUUGGUGAGGUAACGGCUCACCAAGGCUAUGAUGGCUAGCUGGUCUGAGAGGAUGGCCAGCCACACUGGGGACUGAACACGGCCCAGACUCCUACGGGAGGCAGCAGUGGGGGAUAUUGCGCAAUGGGCGAAAGCUGACGCAGCGACGCCGCGUGGGUGAUGAAGGCCU
rnacentral:rRNA from 1 species